GGCGUCUACACUGGGUGACCCAUGUCUACACUGUGAGUCCUAAGCGGGUGCCCCUCUCUGUCGCCCUCCCGCAGCCAUCAAGUUCUCUGGAGACCUUCUUCGACUCCCUGGUGACACAAGCAAACAUCCCCAACGUUUUCUCCAUGCAGAUGUGUGGAGCUGGAUUGCCCGUUGCUGGAUCUGGGACCAACGGAGGUAGUCUUGUCUUGGGUGGAAUUGAACCAAGUUUGUAUAAAGGAGACAUCUGGUAUACCCCUAUUAAGGAAGAGUGGUACUACCAGAUAGAAAUUCUGAAAUUGGAAAUUGGAGGCCAAAGCCUUAAUCUGGACUGCAGAGAGUAUAACGCAGACAAGGCCAUCGUGGACAGUGGCACCACGCUGCUGCGUCUGCCCCAGAAGGUGUUUGAUGCAGUGGUGGAAGCUGUGGCCCGCGCAUCUCUGAUUCCAGAAUUCUCUGAUGGUUUCUGGACUGGGUCCCAGCUGGCGUGCUGGACGAAUUCGGAAACACCUUGGUCUUACUUCCCUAAAAUCUCCAUCUACCUGAGAGACGAGAACUCCAGCAGGUCAUUCCGUAUCACAAUCCUGCCUCAGCUUUACAUUCAGCCCAUGAUGGGGGCCGGCCUGAAUUAUGAAUGUUACCGAUUCGGCAUUUCCCCAUCCACAAACGCGCUGGUGAUCGGUGCCACGGUGAUGGAGGGCUUCUAUGUCAUCUUCGACAGAGCCCAGAAGAGGGUGGGCUUCGCAGCGAGCCCCUGUGCAGAAAUUGCAGGUGCUGCAGUGUCUGAAAUUUCCGGGCCUUUCUCAACAGAGGAUGUAGCCAGCAACUGUGUCCCCGCUCAGUCUUUGAGCGAGCCCAUUUUGUGGAUUGUGUCCUAUGCGCUCAUGAGCGUCUGUGGAGCCAUCCUCCUUGUCUUAAUCGUCCUGCUGCUGCUGCCGUUCCGGUGUCAGCGUCGCCCCCGUGACCCUGAGGUCGUCAAUGAUGAGUCCUCUCUGGUCAGACAUCGCUGGAAAUGA
rnacentral:sRNA from 1 species